GAUUAACGCUAGCGGCAGGCAUAAUACAUGCAAGUUGAACGGGAUAAGUUGUAGCAAUACGACUUUGAGAGUGGCGCACGGGUGCGUAACACGUAUGCAAUCUACCCUAAUCUGUGGAAUAGCCCCUCGAAAGAGGGAUUAAUACCACAUAAAAUAAUGAGAAGGCAUCUUCUUAUUAUCAAAGCUCCGGCGGAUUAGGAUGAGCAUGCGGCUGAUUAGCUAGUUGGUGAGGUAACGGCUCACCAAGGCGACGAUCAGUAGGGGGUCUGAGGGGAUGUCCCCCCACACUGGUACUGAGACACGGACCAGACUCCUACGGGAGGCAGCAGUAGGGAAUAUUGGUCAAUGGGGGCAACCCUGAACCAGCCAUGCCGCGUGCAGGAUGAAGGCCCUAUGGGUCGUAAACUGCUUUUGUACGGGAAGAAAUCACAAUACGUGUAUUGUGUUGACGGUACCGUGAGAAUAAGGAUCGGCUAACUCCGUGCCAGCAGCCGCGGUAAUAC
rnacentral:rRNA from 1 species